rnacentral:rRNA from 1 species
AUUCCCCUAGUAACUGCGAGUGAAGCGGGAAAAGCUCAAAUUUAAAAUCUGGUGGCUUUGCCAUCCGAGUUGUAAUCUGGAGAAGCGUUUUCUGUGUUGGACCGUGUACAAGUCUCUUGGAAUAGAGCGUCAUAGAGGGUGAGAAUCCCGUCUUUGACACGGACUACCAAUGCUUUGUGAUACGCUCUCGAAGAGUCGAGUUGUUUGGGAAUGCAGCUCUAAAUGGGUGGUAAAUUCCAUCUAAAGCUAAAUAUUGGCGAGAGACCGAUAGCGAACAAGUACCGUGAGGGAAAGAUGAAAAGCACUUUGGAAAGAGAGUUAAACAGUACGUGAAAUUGUUGAAAGGGAAACGCUUGAAGUCAGUCGUGUCUUGUGGGACUCAGCCUUGCUUUUGCAUGGUGUAUUUCCUAUUUGACAGGCCAACAUCGAUUUUGACCGGCGGAUAAAGGUUUGAGGAAUGUGGCACCUCCGGGUGUGUUAUAGCCUCUUGCUGCAUACGUCGAUUGGGAUCGAGGACCGCAUUUUUUGGAUGUUGGCAUAAUGGCUUUAAGCGACCCGUCUUGAAACACGGACCAAGGAGUCUAACAUGCCUGCGAGUGUUAGGGUGGAAAACCCUUGCGCGUAAUGAAAGUGAAAGUUGGGACCUUUGUCAUGAAGGGCACCGACGCCCGGCCUUGAGCUUCUGUGACGGUGCCGCGGUAGAGCAUGUAUGUUGGGACCCGAAAGAUGGUGAACUAUGCCUGAAUAGGGUGAAGCCAGAGGAAACUCUGGUGGAGGCUCGUAGCGAUUCUGACGUGCAAAUCGAUCGUCAAAUUUGGGUAUAGGGGCGAAAGACUAAUCGAACCAUCUAGUAGCUGGU